UCCUGCAAAUCAAAGAGAGAGAGAGAUAAAGAGAAGAAAUGGAGACUGCAUGGACAACCCAAGUCGCCGGAGUCACCGCACCACGAGUUCACGCCAGUCUCGUCAUGACUGUUCGCUGCAGUAAGAAAUCGCCAGGAACCACCAUCUUUUUAAGUUUAGCUUUGGCCGUUCAUAAAUUUUGAAUAACAUUCUAACAGUGACGAAUUUCGUGCAUGCAAGCCCACACCUGUGUUCAUCUCAUCGAAACGAAGCCCUAUCCACCGACCAUGCCGCAAUCGAAGUCCGGAUGAAGCCGCACGCACCGUCAGAAGUUUUGUCAUCACUGCUUGUGCAUCACAGGCGCCACUGCCGGAAAUCGCCUCCGCUGCCAGAUCACUGCCUCGGCCCCGCUAGACCACCGCCAGACCACCACCAGAUCACCGCCGGACCACUGCCGGACCAACACCGGACCACCGCUGAACUGCCAUCUCGCUGCCGCUGGACCACCGUCGGACCGCCGUGCUGCCGCCGCCUGACCGCCGGUGUCUUGCCAGUGUCUCGGUCAGCCGAGUUGACUCGAUUUGGAAUCUAUUUGAGCAGUUGGACUUCAUAGACACCACUUUUCCAUAUUGCUUAGUCUCUUGAGUGCUGCCAAUUUUUGAAAGAGUUCCGAGUCUCUUUCGUUUCUCCAUCAUCUUCUCCAUCAUCUUCGCAAGCUCUCCAUUAACCGGUUUGACCGCAAUACACAAACAUCCACCGGUUUAGAGAUAAAGAAACGACGGUGACGAUUGUAAGAAACAGCAGCGUUUUGGAAGAUAUUCGAACAAGACGCAAAGCUGUUUAGCUUUUGGUCUACAUGGUAAUAAGAUCUUGUGCGAAUAUUCUCGACGUAUCAACUUGAAACCUUCUGUUUAAGAUUGUGUGGUUAGCUUAUCACGGUGGUUAUCCGUGGAUGUGUUGUUUCUUUUCGCUGCUUGUCGGUUCUUUGGGGCUUCGGGGACUGGCCCUGUUUCAGACCCUUUGUUGCGGUUACUCUUCAGCACCUUCAGUCGCUUGCCGUGUUUGUUUGGAGCUUCUGCUCCCGUUCUUCAAGCCUGAGAAUGAAGCUUCGGGUGGGUGUCGCUGCCUCUUCGACGGUUGAAAUGCAUUAUUCCUCGAGGAAGUGGCUGGAGUCGGGAGAUAAAUCUCCGCCUACCACCUCAAGAGCCCCUGUUCUUCAUCGAGUGUCUUUCAUCUGUUAGUUUGGACUCACAGCUUCUCCUUUGCAAAGUUUCUGGUUUGGCUGGAUUUGGUCUCAUUGGUAGUGUAAUAGCCGGGGCCAGCUCGCCAAUCCGCCUCCUCCUGUUGCCGUCAAAGUAUCCCCGGGAUUGCUCCGUUUCCAACCAUACCCAAGACCAGUCUUCUCAUUUGCAGUUUACAGUGAAUGAGUUGCUUCUUGGUCUUCCUAUGGCCAAUAGUUAACCUUAUGAUCUCCUAGUUUAGCUUUAGUCUGUUUCUUAUGAUUUAGACUAAACCUAUUUUGUAUCUAAGGGGCUUUUUUUUAUCUUUUUUGGGGUCUCUUUGAUAGAACUUUGCUUAAUUGCAGCUUUAGGUUCAUGCUUGCUUGUACCUCUUUGCCAUUUCUUAUUGAAAUGAAUUCACAUUUUGUCAAAAAAAAAAAACUUGAAACC